rnacentral:rRNA from 1 species
UACGAAGGUGACUAGCGUUGUUCGGAAUUACUGGGCGUAAAGCGCACGUAGGCGGAUUGCUAAGUCAGGGGUGAAAUCCCGGGGCUCAACCUCGGAACUGCCUUUGAUACUGUCAAUCUCGAGUCCGAUAGAGGUGGGUGGAAUUCCUAGUGUAGAGGUGAAAUUCGUAGAUAUUAGGAAGAACACCGGUGGCGAAGGCGGCCCACUGGAUCGGUACUGACGCUGAGGUGCGAAAGCGUGGGGAGCAAGCAGG